GACGUAGGAGGCGAGCGUUGUCCGGAUUCAUUGGGCGUAAAGAGCACGCAGGCGGUUUGGCAAGUCGGAUGUGAAAACCCGAAGCUCAACUUCGGGCCUGCAUCCGAAACUGCCCGACUAGAGGUAGGUAGGGGAGAUCGGAACUCCUGGUGUAGCGGUGAAAUGCGCAGAUAUCAGGAGGAACACCGGUGGCGAAGGCGGAUCUCUGGGCCUUACCUGACGCUCAGGUGCGAAAGCUAGGGGAGCGAACGGG
rnacentral:rRNA from 1 species